GGGCGUGUGGCCUAGCUAGGAUAGGGCGCUGGCCUUCUAAGCCAGUGGUCGCGGGUUCGAAUGCAUGGUGUGCAGAAAAUCCCGCCGCGCCCG
rnacentral:tRNA from 1 species